AGUUGUUAUACUAACAAUUGACAAACUUUUAACUUAAUUCAAGAACCCCAUUUUCUUUAUUUCAUUCUCCUCUCCACUUACUAAAAAAGAAGGAAGUGUGGAGAUUGCAAGAGUUUAUGAAGGUUCUAAUAUGAAUAGCUUUAUACUUCCAAAUGAAAGUUUUCCCCUACCUUCUAAGGUUCUUGAUUCUCUCUGGAUUUCUGAUGAUAGGCUAUAAUUACGUAUUUUAGUCGAUUAUUACACUCUAAUUUACUGCACUUUAGUUGAGUUUGCGCUUGAAUCGCUAGUGUUUUGCACUAACGGUGUGUUUUAUGCCUUGUAGGAGUGAUUCCGAGCUAUAUAGAUGUUAUGGAAUGAAUUUAAGUGGUUUGGAACUUUGAAGUCUGAAUAAGAGCUCAAGGAAUUAAGCCGGGAUCGCGUUCGGGGAUCAACGGAUGAUAAAACAACAAAACGAAAACUCGAAGAGGCAUAUUGCGCACUGUCUAGUAAAAUAGACAUAACGUUUUGCUCAGAACUCCAUUUGGGUUCCAUAAUAUAUGGUUGGAAAGAUAACUCAAAUAGCUACAACUUUUAUGUUUUACGUUUGUCCAAAUUCCAAACGGAACAGGAUGAAAAACCGCGGUUUCACCGCGACCGCGGCAGAACCGCGGCAGAGUGCAGACGCAGACAAUUGAAGAAUCAGAGGCCAUGUUUGGCCGCGGUUUGACCGCGACCGCGGUAGAACCGUGGCAGGAGGCGGAAAUUUCAGGGACUAAAGUGCAAAACACGAGAUUUUUAUCCCAAAACCCUAUAUUAAACCAAGGAAGCCGGCAAAGAAAAAAAUUGGACAUAUUUUUGACAUAGAUUUGACCUAAGGAGGAGAGACACAAUAGGAGCAAGGCUUGGGAAUU
rnacentral:lncRNA from 1 species